AAAAAGGGCCUUUGAUGCAAUGUCACCUAGUGUCUGUAAGGAUUCUGGGCGGAAUCGCUAGCAGGAGAUUUCGGAGGCAAAAUUUCUGUACAAUGUGGCAGCUGGUGCUCAUAUGGCCUGGCGCCCUU